rnacentral:rRNA from 1 species
UGGGGAAUAUUGCACAAUGGGGGAAACCCUGAUGCAGCGACGCCGCGUGGAGGAAGAAGGUCUUCGGAUUGUAAACUCCUGUUGUUGGGGAAGAUAAUGACGGUACCCAACAAGGAAGUGACGGCUAACUACGUGCCAGCAGCCGCGGUAAAACGUAGGUCACAAGCGUUGUCCGGAAUUACUGGGUGUAAAGGGAGCGCAGGCGGGAAGACAAGUUGGAAGUGAAAACCAUGGGCUCAACCCAUGAAUUGCUUUCAAAACUGUUUUUCUUGAGUAGUGCAGAGGUAGAUGGAAUUCCCGGUGUAGCGGUGGAAUGCGUAGAUAUCGGGAGGAACACCAGUGGCGAAGGCGGUCUACUGGGCACCAACUGACGCUGAGGCUCGAAAGCAUGGGUAGCAAACAGGAUUAGAUACCCUGGUAGUCCAUGCCGUAAACGAUGAUUACUAGGUGUUGGGGGAUUGACCCCCUCAGUGCCGCAGUUAACACAAUAAGUAAUCCACCUGGGGAGUACGACCGCAAGGUUGAAACUCAAAGGAAUUGACGGGGGCCCGCACAAGCAGUGGAGUAUGUGGUUUAAUUCGAAGCAACGCGAAGAACCUUACCAGGUCUUGACAUCCGAUGCAUAGCACAGAGAUGUGUGAAAUCCUUCGGGACAUCGAGACAGGUGGUGCAUGGUUGUCGUCAGCUCGUGUCGUGAGAUGUUGGGUUAAGUCCCGCAACGAGCGCAACCCUUAUUGCCAGUUACUACGUUAAGAGGACUCUGGCGAGACUGCCGUUGACAAAACGGAGGAAGGUGGGGAUGACGUCAAAUCAUCAUGCCCUUUAUGACCUGGGCUACACACGUACUACAAUGGCGUUAAACAAAGAGAAGCAAGACCGCGAGGUGGAGCAAAACUCAAAAAUAACGUCUCAGUUCGGAUUGUAGUCUGCAACUCGACUACAUGAAGCUGGAAUCGCUAGUAAUCGCAGAUCAGAAUGCUGCGGUGAAUACGUUCCC